AGAGUUUGAUCAUGGCUCAGAUUGAACGCUGGCGGCGUGCCUAACACAUGCAAGUCGAGCGGUAACAGGCGUAGCAAUACGUGCUGACGAGCGGCGGACGGGUGAGUAAUGCUUGGGAAUCUUCCCAGUAGUGGGGAAUAACUAGCCGAAAGGUUAGCUAAUACCGCAUACGUUCUACGGAAGAAAGCGGGGGCUCGUAAGACCUCGCGCUAUUGGAUGAGCCCAAGUCGGAUUAGCUAGUUGGCGGGGUAAAGGCCCACCAAGGCGACGAUCCGUAACUGGUCUGAGAGGACGACCAGUCACACCGGAACUGAGACACGGUCCGGACUCCUACGGGAGGCAGCAGUGGGGAAUAUUGGACAAUGGGGGAAACCCUGAUCCAGCGACGCCGCGUGUGUGAAGAAGGCCUGCGGGUUGUAAAGCACUUUUAGUGGGGACAAAAAGUUCAUGGCUAAUAACCGUGGAUCUUGAUUUAACCCAAAGAAAAAGCACCGGCUAACUCUGUGCCAGCAGCCGCGGUAAUACAGAGGGUGCGAGCGUUAAUCGGAAUUACUGGGCGUAAAGCGCGCGUAGGUGGUUUUGCAAGUCGAGUGUGAAAGCCCCGGGCUCAACCUGGGAACUGCAUUCGAGACUGCAUUACUCGAGUAUGGGAGAGGGCAGUGGAAUUUCCGGUGUAGCGGUGAAAUGCGUAGAUAUCGGAAGGAACAUCAGUGGCGAAAGCGACUGCCUGGCCCAAUACUGACGCUCAUGUGCGAAAGCGUGGGGAGCAAACAGGAUUAGAUACCCUAGUAGUCC
rnacentral:rRNA from 1 species